rnacentral:misc_RNA from 1 species
AAUCGAAGAGGUAGCAGGAGAUAGAACUUAUGAGAGCAUGACCUACUUGUCAUGGAAGUUUGCCAACACCCCUCCAAAAGGUGGUGGUGUCUCAAAUUAAAGCAUUUAGAAAUGUACUGUUACCCUUGGGGAUGUAAUCAUCUUAUGAAUAAAAGUGAGAAUCUCUGUGAGAUUGCAAACAUGUAUGUUUGUGAGCUGCAGUGCAAUUACACUCUAUUAUUGAACAAAUAAUUAAUAAAUUCUGCGGUUAUGGUACCAUUCUGCUUCUUGAUGAGGUAUUCGAUCAAGUGUUAUGAGGAAGGUUUUUAUUUUAUUUUGAAAAAAA